rnacentral:rRNA from 1 species
AUUGAACGCUGGCGGCAUGCCUUACACAUGCAAGUCGAACGGUAACAGGUCUUCGGAUGCUGACGAGUGGCGAACGGGUGAGUAAUACAUCGGAACGUGCCUAGUAGUGGGGGAUAACUAAUCGAAAGAGUGGCUAAUACCGCAUGAAAUCUACGGAUGAAAGCAGGGGAUAGAAAGACCUUGUGCCACUAGAGCGGCCGAUGGCAGAUUAGGUAGUUGGUGGGAUAAAGCUUACCAAGCCGACGAUCUGUAGCUGGUCUGAGAGGACGAUCAGCCACACUGGGACUGAGACACGGCCCAGACUCCUACGGGAGGCAGCAGUGGGGAAUUUUGGACAAUGGGCGCAAGCCUGAUCCAGCAAUGCCGCGUGCAGGAUGAAGGCCUUCGGGUUGUAAACUGCUUUUGUACGGAACGAAAAGCCCCGGGUUAAUACCCUGGGGUCAUGACGGUACCGUAAGAAUAAGCACCGGCUAACUACGUGCCAGCCGCCGCCGUAA